rnacentral:rRNA from 1 species
UACGAAGGGGGCUAGCGUUGCUCGGAAUCACUGGGCGUAAAGCGCACGUAGGCGGCUUUUUAAGUCAGGGGUGAAAUCCUGGAGCUCAACUCCAGAACUGCCUUUGAUACUGGAGGGCUUGAGUCCGGAAGAGGUGAGUGGAACUCCGAGUGUAGAGGUGAAAUUCGUAGAUAUUGGGAAGAACACCGGUGGCGAAGGCGGCGACCUGGUCCAUUACUGACGCUGAGGCGCGACAGCGUGGGGAGCAAACAGGG